UACGGAGGAUGCAAGCGUUAUCCGGAAUGAUUGGGCGUAAAGCGUCCGCAGGUGGCUGUGUAAGUCUGCUGUUAAAGAGUCUAGCUCAACUAGAUACAAGCAGUGGAAACUACACGGCUAGAGUACGUUCGGGGCAGAGGGAAUUCCUGGUGUAGCGGUGAAAUGCGUAGAGAUCAGGAAGAACACCGGUGGCGAAGGCGCUCUGCUAGGCCGUAACUGACACUGAGGGACGAAAGCUAGGGGAGCGAAAGGG
rnacentral:rRNA from 1 species